rnacentral:misc_RNA from 1 species
UUUGAGUAUUGCAGCUCCAGGUACUUCCCUUUUACCUCUUUAAUGCCAUAGAUCUCCUUGGAUAUCUUCAAUGUAUGCAGUUCUCCUCCUGUAUUGAAGCCCUUCUUUAUAUACUGUGUCUCAAAGAGGUAUGCUAAAAAUAAAUGGAAAAACUUAUAAAUCUUUUGCUGAAAUUCCCAUGGUUUUCUAUGGAUAAGAAACCUCAUAUGUAUCUCCAAACUCCCAGAACUUGGAGAGAGGGAUCAAAACGAUCCAUUUUUUUUAGGUAUAAACAUCUCCAAUUAUACAAUCUGGUCUUGCAACAAAUAGAAGAAAAGUUGUACGUGUUUAUGUUGUUUGUCUUGCGCGUGAAAUCAUCUCCUCACUCCUCCCCAUAGUUGUACUAUACCUGUAACAAGUUUGUAUCUUCGUACGUAUAUGAUAUAGGGGGUUUUGCCAGUCUACUCCAUUGCGAAAAAUAAUAAAAAAACCCUUUUACACUGAUACUUGCUUUGUGUGGAAUCUUUGUGGUACUAUAUAUACACAUAUAUUAAGGUGUGAAAACACAGACGAUGUAAAUUUAAUAUAUAUUAUCUUUUCUUCAACGUCCCUUAACUUGUUCUUGUUCUCAACUAUUGUAUGGAAACCCUUUGUGAAAAAGCCAACUUAAGUACAGUUUUUAAGAACUCAUCAGCAACCAAUUAAGUUUGGGUUUUUCUUCUUUUAACUUGGAUUUUGUGGGGCAAUGUGAAGAUAUAUAUUUGGGGUAGCUAGUCUCUUCAAAUAGUACCUGAGAUUCAAGUAGUACCUGAGAUCUCUCUCUCUCUCUCUCU